UACGGGGGGUGCGAGCGUUAAUCGGAUUUACUGGGCGUAAAGCGCGCGUAGGCGGUUUGGUAAGUCAGAUGUGAAAUCCCCGGGCUCAACCUGGGAAUGGCAUUUGAUACUGUCGAACUCGAGUGUGGUAGAGGGAAGUGGAAUUCCGCAUGUAGCGGUGAAAUGCGUAGAUAUGCGGAGGAACACCAGUGGCGAAAGCGACUUCCUGAACCACCACUGACGCUGAGGCGCGAAAGCGUGGGGAGUAAACAGG
rnacentral:rRNA from 1 species